CUGACCUCGGGGCGCAGCAGUGAGGAAUAUUGGUCAAUGGUCGGGAGACUGAACCAGCCAAGCCGCGUGAGGGAGGAAGGUACAGAGUAUCGUAAACCUCUUUUGUCAGGGAACAAAGACUGGGACGCGUCCCCGGAUGAGUGUACCUGAAGAAAAAGCAUCGGCUAACUCCGUGCCAGCAGCCGCGGUAAUACGGAGGAUGCGAGCGUUAUCCGGAUUUAUUGGGUUUAAAGGGUGCGCAGGCGGAAGAUCAAGUCAGCGGUAAAAUUGAGAGGCUCAACCUCUUCGAGCCGUUGAAACUGGUU
rnacentral:rRNA from 1 species